UACGUAGGGGGGCAAGCGUUGUCCGGAUUUAUUGGGCGUAAAGAGCGUGUAGGCGGCCAGAUAGGUCCGUUGUGAAAACUGGAGGCUUAACCUCCAGCUGUCGAUGGAAACCAUCUGGCUAGAGUCCGGAAGAGGAGAGUGGAAUUCCUGGGUGUAGCGGUGAAAUGCGCAGAUAUCAGGAAGAACACCCGUGGCGAAGGCGGCUCUCUGGGACGGUACUGACGCUGAGACGCGAAAGCGUGGGGAGCGAACAGG
rnacentral:rRNA from 1 species